UGAACCUUGAAUUUUGAUGUGUAGGAUAGGUGGGAGACUGUGAAGCGGUAACGCCAGUUAUCGUGGAGUCGUUGUUGAAAUACCACCCUUUAACGUUUGAUGUUCUAACGAAGUGCCUGAAACGGGUACUCGGACAGUGUCUGGUGGGUAGUUUGACUGGGGCGGUCUCCUCCCAAAGUGUAACGGAGGAGCACGAAGGUUUGCUAAUGACGGUCGGACAUCGUCAGGUUAGUGCAAUGGUAUAAGCAAGCUUAACUGCGAGACAGACAAGUCGAGCAGGUGCGAAAGCAGGUCAUAGUGAUCCGG
rnacentral:rRNA from 1 species